CAUGCUCACUUCGAUCUCUAGUCUGGACCACUUCGGUGAGGCCAGGAUACUCGGUUAGCAAAAAAAAAAAAAUGGUAUGAACCAACUGUAGAUGUAGUGAGCAUUACUGAUGGUAAAAGUAAUCUGUACAUUUGAACAUAGUUGUCGAGUAAAAUUAACGGGUGAUUUAUAACAAUUGCCUUUAACACAAAGAUUAUAAACAUUUACCCACCACC
rnacentral:lncRNA from 1 species